CAUGCGUGUCGCGGGGCAUGCCGGGAGCGCGCAGUGGCGGCAGCGGCGGCGACAGCACUCACAGCGGCGGCAACAGCGGGGACGCGAGCGGGGCGGUGACCGUGUGGGAGGUGGUCUCACUCUUGGGGAAGCUGCUGGGCACCGUCGCCGCGCUGAAGGUGGUCCUGUACCUGCUCCGGGUGUGCUUAGCGAUGGCCUGGAAAUCCGGCGGCGCCAGCCACUCGGAGCUGAUCCACAACCUCCGCAAAAAUGGAAUCAUCAAGACAGAUAAAGUAUUUGAAGUAAUGCUGGCUACGGACCGUGCCCACUAUGCAAAAUGUAACCCUUAUAUGGAUUCUCCACAAUCAAUAGGUUUCCAAGCAACAAUCAGUGCUCCACACAUGCAUGCAUAUGCACUAGAACUUCUAUUUGAUCAACUACAUGAAGGAGCUAAAGCUCUUGAUGUAGGAUCUGGAAGUGGAAUCCUUUCUGCAUGUUUUGCACGUAUGGUUGGAGCUAGUGGAAAAGUCGUAGGAAUUGACCACAUUAAAGAGUUAGUAGACGACUCAAUAAAUAAUGUCAGAAAGGACGAUCCAACACUUUUGUCUUCAGGGAGAGUGCAGCUGGUUGUGGGGGAUGGAAGAAUGGGAUAUGCCGAAGAAGCCCCUUAUGAUGCUAUUCACGUAGGCGCUGCAGCCCCCGUUGUGCCCCAGGCACUAAUAGACCAGUUAAAGCCUGGUGGAAGAUUGAUAUUGCCGGUCGGUCCUGCGGGUGGAAAUCAGAUGCUUGAGCAGUACGACAAGCUGCAAGAUGGCAGUGUCAAAAUGAAACCUCUGAUGGGAGUGAUAUACGUGCCUUUAACAGAUAAAGAAAAGCAGUGGUCCAGGUGGAAGUGAUUUUACCUUCUGCUCUUUCUUCUUCCACACAUGCAAGUUGCUGGUACAGUGCUACACCUGGCUGAGCGAAUGGUUUCUUUUGGAGCUGAUAAAGCUGCCUUAUGAAAUCAGCUGACAGGGACGAACUGUAAAAGCAACAUCAGCUUGACCAGUAUAUAAUAUUACAGUGGAUUGCUCAUCUCAGUUAAAGCUUUUGAAAACCACAGCAUCACAGCUUGUUUUGGACUUUGUUACACUUUUUUUCAGCAUGAAAAUGUGUGGUUUUGUAGUGUUUCUAAUUCUUCAAAGAGGCACAAAAGCCAAAUUGGUAGAGAAAGGAUGCAAAGUAUACAUUUUACUUUAAAAUAUUAAGCGAAGGCGUUCUGCAAAAUGGGAAAGUUAGUUUUUUAAUUGAUUUGGAGGAGUGGUUUUUCUUUUCUUAGACACUUAAUUCUGUUCCAAUAUUAAUUUUUCAGACUGCGUUUGUGUAUCAGAUAACACCACCAUUCACAAGUUAAAAUUCUUUGUUUUUUUUUUAAUGUCUGUGAGAUGCUACUAAGAAAAUAGAGGUGAGCUCCCUUUUUAAAGCUUUUGAUGUGGUGUCAUAGAAUAGCAUGUUGUAGAUACAAUCAGCUGCUUUGGUACCUUAAAACUAAGCAAUUGUAAAUAUUAAAAUUUAAGAAGGUGGAAAGUGAUGUUCCUUAACACUCAGCAGUUCAGAUUGGACAUAACUGACAUAGUUCUUCAUUUCUUUCUUUAAAAUUAUAUUAGACUUGUAGCUUAGUUUUAUUUCGUUUCUAACUCGCUGCUGAUAAUGUAUGAAUUGAACAUGCUGUGUAAGCUGUGUCUUAGUUACUGAACAGUUUAUGCAGUGCUGCUUUGCCAAAUAAAGUUAAAAGUAAAAGAGGCAUUGGUGGUGUUUGAAUGUAAAGAACAGCAUGUCCACCAGAUACAGAAUGUUGACUAAGAUCACAGAAAAGAUUAUUUCUCUGAUGCUCCAUCUUGUCAAAUAUGAGUGGCAUUAAUUCAGUUGUACAUUUGCACAGUGAAUGUGACUAUGUUUCUUGAGAACAAGGACUACACCUCACUUCUUUUUCUUUGCUUAACACAGGGCUUGUCCUCUUGUAGAUGUACAAUAAAUGCAGGAUGAAUGAGCAAGCGAAUUGACUGACAGUCAGGGAAGGGCUGCGUUGAGGCUAAAUUUACCAAAACCCAUCUCUCACCUAUAAGGGCUUUGUUAAUAUAAUGACUAUAAAUGAAUUUCAAAAAGUCA